ensembl:lncRNA
GGGGAAAUGCUCUUAAAUAAAGACUGAAGGAGCUGCUGAAGAUUAAUGGUGGUGAUGUUGAAGUCACGUGACUGUGAUACUGCUCGUUUAUAAUGUACGUUUAGCUUUUUACUUCUGCUUCAAAAUUCAUAAAAGUUGUGUUCUUUAAGAAGACAAAACAAAUAAGAAUCUUAAACUUCCACUGGUCACAGAGCUCAUUUUCCACAAUAAUCCAAAAGACAAUGGAAAAGUGUGUGUGUGUGUGUGUGUGUGUGUGUGUGUGUGUGUGUGUGUGUGUGUGUGUGUGAGUAUCAGUGAGAGAGUAAGAGUGUGUGAGUACAUGUGUGAAAUUGUGUGAGUGCAUGAAUGUGUGUGUGUGAGUUAGAGAGUGAGAGUGUCAGUGUGAGUGCACGCGCUUGUGUGUGAGUACGAGUGAGUGGAAGUGUGAGUGAGUGUAUACGAAAGUGAGUGUGAGAGCACGAGUGUGUGUCUAAGUGCAUGAGUGAAAGCAAGAGUUGUAUAUGAGUGUGAGUGUGUGUGUGUGAGAGUGAGUGUUUGAAAAGAAAGUGAGUGUGUGUAAUAGUGAAUGACAGAGUAUGAGAGUGUGUGAGAGUAAGAGUGUGAGAGAACAAGUGAAAGUGUGAGUGUAUGCGCUUGUGUGUGUGAGUACGAGUGAGAGUGUGACUGAAGGCAUUUGUGUGUGUGUGUGUGUGUGUGUGUAAGUAAAUGAGUGUGAGUGAAAGUGAGUGUGUGCAUGUGCGGGAGUGAGUUUGAGAUGUAAAAGUGUGUGAGUGUGAGUAUGAGUUGUAUAUGAGUGUGAGUGCACAAGUUUGUGUGUGAGAGUGAGUGUAAGAGAGUAAGAGUGUGUGCAUGUGUGUGUGUGUGUGUGUGUGUGUGUGUGUGUGUGUGUGUGUGUGUGUGUGUGUGUGUGUGUGUGUGUGUGUGUGUGUGUGUGUGUGUGUGUGUGAGUGAGUGUGAGUGAAAGUGUGUGUGUGCGUGUGCAGGAGUGAGUGUACGAGUAAGAGUGUGUGCAUGUGCGGGAGUGAGUUUGAGAGCAAGAGUGUGUCAGUGUGAGUGUAUGUGCUUGUGUGUGAGUGAGUGGAAGUGAGUGUGUGCGUGUGAUUAAAAGUGUACGAGUAAGAGUGUGUGCGUGUGCGGGAGUGAGUGUAAGGGUAAGAGUGUGUGAGUGUGCACGUGUGUGAGUGAGUGUGUGUGUGCACGUGUGUGUGUGUGUGUGUGUGUGUGUGAAAGUGUAUGAGAGUGAAUGUGAGUGAAGGAGUGUGAGCAAGUUUGAGAGAAUGAGAGAGUGUGAGUUUGGGCAUUUGUGUGUGAGUGAUUGGGAGUAAAAGUGAUUGAGACUGAGAAUAAGAGUGUGUGAGUGUGUGCGUGAGAGUAUGAGUUGUAUAUGAAUGUGUGUGCAUGCAUUUGUGUGUGUGAAAGUGAGUGUAAGAGAGUAAGAGUGUUUAAGUGAAAGUGUCUGAAGGAGUGGGAGUGAAGGUGUGUGUGUGUGUGUGCAUGUGAGUACAGGCAUUUGUGUGUGUGUGAGUGAGUAUGAGUGAAAGUGAGUGUGUGAGUAAGAGUGUGUCAGUGUGAGUGUGGGCAUUUGUGUGUGUUUGUGAGUGAGUGAGUGAGUUAGUGAGUGAUUGAAAGUUAGUGUGCGCAUGUGGGAGUGAGAGUAAGAGAUGUAUAUGAGUGUGAGUGCACACGUUUGUGUGUGUAAGAUUGAGUGUGAGUGAAAGUGGGUGUGUAAGAGUACGAGUGAGUAAGAGUGUGUGCAUGUGUGUGUGUGUGAGAGAGUGAGUGUGUGUGAAAGGGAGAGUGUAAGUGUGUGAGUUUGAGCAUGUGCAUAUGUGAGUGAGAGUGUGAAAGUAAGAGUGUGACAGUGAGUGCAU